AGCGAUCCCAUGGUAUGAUAAUGUAGCUCCCCACUCUUGGCGCACUAAUGGUCUAGCGUCAUUUAAGCUUCAUCCACGACCAUUGGAAGCGCAACAACCGCUUUACACAAAGUUGCAUGAUUAUGAGCACUAAUACCAUCCGUCCAUCCGUAGCAUGAGACAAGCGGCGUGCGUGGUACCACGGCAGCGGUACGGACCAUUUUAUUACCAUAUCAAUUGAUGAUUACACGAGACCAGGGCACCCAGACGGCAAGGGAAAACAAUCAAUAGUAGUCUUGUGUGUUUGACACGCCUCUAGCCACCACCCACCCACCCACCCAAAGACGAGAAGAGAGACCAGACACCCUGAUGACAGACGACGACGACGAUGUGACCUACCUAAGCGGACUACGCGUAGUAUGCAACCAAACGGAAACGGAAAUAUCUUGGAAGAAUUUCGUCCAAAUCCUCCAGUGGCCACCACCAAACCCAACCCAUCACUGAUCAUCGCACGGCGGUCGGCGCUGCUCGGCUUCAGGGCUUCCACAGGAUGGUGGUCUCGGCGAUCAUGGAGGUGACCACGUAGGGGUCCAUGUUGGACGCCGGCCGGCGGUCCUCGAAGUAGCCCUUGCCGUUCUGCUCCGUCUCCCGUCCCACGCGCACCGACGCGCCACGGUUCGCGACACCC
rnacentral:lncRNA from 1 species